UGUAUUUCAAAUUUAGAGCCGAAAUCUAGUCAAAGAGAAACAAUAACCCGAAAUUCAACCCGGUUGGCCAGCCACUGAUGAAAGGUCUCUAAAGAUUGGUGUCUUCUUCGCUUCACAGCGAUGAAACGCAUAGCCGGGGACGAAAUCACCGGCUAUCUAGUUCGGCUUUCAAAUCUCUAGUUUCGGUUCUCAUGCUAGCCAUGUUCGCCACCAUGACAUCGAUUUACGUCAUCUGCUGUUUUCAGGUGCAAUGAGCCAAUGACACACUGCAAAUUAUAGCAUGCAGGAACAACAGAAGAAGUUAGCAGCCCUUGAGAUGGAGCUAGUUGUAGCACAACAGGAAGAUUUUAUCUCAAAGAACUUGUCAGAAAAUAAGGAGACUCCUCCUAAGAAAAAGCUUUGUUGUAGGAAUUAUGACAAAGUUUGGCCACAAGAACAAUAGAGAUGCAAUCCGUAGGGGAUGGAUGCCAACUGGUAGAAUACCCUUCUUUUUAUACUCUGGAAGCAACUCUUGCUACUCAUUUGAAUAAGCCUCGAGUUUAUAUUGGGUGUAUGAAAUCAAGCGAAGUUUUCUCAAAGUUGAUCCACAAGUAGUAAGAACCAGACUGGUAGAAACUUGGUGAUGGAAAAUCGUGAGUAAUUCUGUAUUGAUUUCAUCUUGUCUCUUAUAUUAAGAUAAGUAACUAUUACUUUCUAGUUCUGUUAACUAGUUAGGAAGUCUCUUAGUAUCUUAGAAUUCAUCUAAUAGGUGAUAGAAGUCCCAAUGAACAACUAGGGCAUUGUCCCAUAGGAGGCUUGCUUGAUAAAGAAUCAAAGUACCGUUUCUGAAGUUUUUUGGGCAUUUAAACAAUUUAUCAUUCCAUCAUAUUCUUGACAUCUGUUACACUUAAUUUGCCUACCCCAUGCACCCAUAUUUAAACCAUCUCAACUCUGACUUGUGUCGAGGUAUCCUGGAGUUGGUAGAGGGACGCCUUCUCGGGAAGUCAGGCUUACAUUGGCUGAAGAUACAUUUAGCAAAUUUAUUUGCUAGUGGAAUGGACAAGUUAUCGUAUGAGGGUUGGGUAGCAUUUACUGAGAAUCAUUUGGAAGAUAUCUUUGAUUCUGUAGACGUACCUUUGGAAGGAAGACGUUGGUGGUUGUCUGCCUAGGAUCCUCUCCAAUGUUCAUGUAUUAAUCUCUCAAAAGCAUUAAGAAGCUCCCUUCCAAAAACUACUAUUUCACACAUGCUUGUCCACCAGGAUGGCUCAUGCAAUGGCUUACGACACUAUGUUGCCCUUGGAAGGGACAAGGUAUUGGAAUUUUAUGUUUUUGGUUGAUUGUUGUGGAGUUCUGAUUAUGUGAUAUGGAAGCAUGGUUUUUGAUUAGUUAGACAUAGUUUUUCGCUCUUUUUCUGCUUUGAGGCUAAAUUUGUCUCAGCUUUGAUCUUCUCUCUUUUUGAUAGAAAGAAGGAACUUUGUUAAGGAAAGAUGGUAAAAGGAUAAGGAGUUGGAAAUUGAAACCCAAGAAAGAAACCAAACUUUGUUUGAGUUUAGUGCAAUUUAUUUAAUUUGACUUUUCAAGUAAUUUCAAAGUUUGGUUGUUUCAAGAAAGGGGAUUAUCAUUGGUAUUUGGCAAGUUCAAAGGCUAGGGCAGCAGAUCAGUCUCUGAAGACUGAAUUUUAGUUAGAACUUAGUAUUGGAGGAGAUAAUUUUUCUUGUUUAUUGAAGUUUCCUUAUCCUUUGACAGCAGAACUUUGAAUUGGGGAUCAUUAAUUGAUUAUGCAGUUCGGAUA